AUGGGGCCAGAGCAGGGCUGGUGGCUGCCAGGGGCGCGGGGGGGUGGCACGUCCCAACAUGCAGCCCCCAGCCCUUGUAUGGAGCUUGGGAGGAAUUUCCUCUGCCUGCCCCUGGAGCGGUGCGGGCAAAGAAAGGGUUGGGAGGAGGAGAUGGCCGUGUGCUUUGCACAGCCCGUGCUCUCUCUUGGUCCCAUUGAUUCUCAUCCCAAUGUGGCCACGUGUGUUGUCUUUUCCAGACAGGUUAGGUCAAGGUUUCCCUCUGCCUCUGCUGGACAGAAUGCAGCUCUCCGAUAUCAUCGUGCAGUUUCACCAGGUGAGUGUGGGGAGCCCCCAGCCCUGCCCAGAGCCCGUCCUGCUCCCCCCCGAGCCCUCUGCCAGGGAGGCUGGCUGCCUGCUGCUGCUGGCACCAUGCUAAGCCCAUCCCCUGACCCGUGCUGGGCAGCUGCAGGCAGGAGGAUGUUGCUCAGCUGGGAUCCCAGCAGCAGAGCUGCAAAACAGAGCUCCGCUUUUGCUGUCCACGUGUGGGGGUCUGGGCUCAGCACCCCCAGGGCAGCACCACAUCAUUCUCCAGUUCUGAAACAUGGGGCCAGAAUUUCCUACAACACUUUUUAUAGCCCGCUCAGCUUUAUGGCAGCAUUACCCGGAGCUCCUGCCUUCCCCAGCCGGCGGGAUGCCGCGUGUGCAUCGGACACAUUUGCCUGUGGUGGGACAGGCAGCUCCUGCCAGCCCCUGUGGAAGGAGCCCUCCCCUUUCUCCUGGGGAGCAGAGAAAGCCCCUCUUGUGGGAGGUCUUGGAGAAGCCCCAGAGGGCUGCCACUACGGGAAUGCUGAACAGUUAUUUCGAGGAAUGGCUGGGAAAUGUCCUCCGAGCCCUUCCAGGGAUAAAAUUAGGCACAGGGGCUGGCAGAACCACAUCUGUCCAUCCAUCCUCCCUCCCCAAAAUGUGGUGGGUACCGGGAGCACAGCAGCCUGCAACAGAAAGUGGCUGCCAGGGCCUUUCACAGCCCCACGCUUUCUUUCUUUCUCCCAGAAUCUACUGCUGCUUGGAGCAAACGUUCAGUAUCAGCCCUGGGUAUAG
rnacentral:lncRNA from 1 species